rnacentral:rRNA from 1 species
UACGUAGGGGGCUAGCGUUGUCCGGAUUUACUGGGCGUAAAGAGCGCGCAGGCGGUCGUUCAAGUCGAGUGUGAAAGCCCCCGGCUCAACUGGGGAGGGUCAUUCGAUACUGAUCGACUGGAAGGCAGGAGAGGGAAGCGGAAUUCCCGGUGUAGUGGUGAAAUGCGUAGAUAUCGGGAGGAACGCCAGUGGCGAAGGCGGCUUCCUGGCCUGUUCUUGACGCUGAGGCGCGAAAGCUAGGGGAGCAAACGGG